GUACUUGUUUCAGCAGUGCAUUUACUAAAACUGGAACGAUACAGAGAAAAUGGCUUAGCCUCUGCGCAAGGAUGACACGCAAAUUCGAGAAUCGUUAUAGAUUUUC